rnacentral:misc_RNA from 1 species
GCCUGCCCUGGCCCACCAACCGGAUCAGAUUACAAAAAUGCAGCCACAAGGAAGGGGGGACUCGUCAUUACCGCCUUUUCCCCGGGCACCACCAGUCCACCACCCCCAGCCGCACAGCUCACUCCAGCCGAAAGCACAAGCACGCCAUGGCAGAGGAGAAGAAGAGGCACAAGCACAAGCACAAGGAGAAGGAGAAGCAGCCGGGCGGCGGCACGGAGCAGGCGGCGCACUUCAAGCCGUGCGGCGACGUGAAGGGCAUCCGGUUCGGGGGCCAGUUCAUCGUGAAGUCGUUCACGGUGCGGCGGGCGUCGCCCCUGGAGCUGCUGCGGCUGCUGGGCAUCCCGCCGUCGUACCUGAGCGAGUGCCAGAGCCUGCCGUUCCCGUCCACCACCGCCUACAUGCCCACGGGCUUCACCAUCCUGGCGCACCAGGCGUGGCACACGCUGACGCUGGGCCUGGGCACCAACAAGUCCAAGGCGGCGCUCUUCGUGUUCGAGUCCGAGGCCAUGAAGGCGGCCGUGGACCGCCUGUGGCCCGCCGUCACCCCGCUCGGGGACGUCAACAGGAGGCUCAUCCGCGGCCUCACGGGCAGCGAGAUGGCGCGCUUCAAGUUCCGCAAGGGCUGCCUCACCAUCUACGUCUACGCCGUGCGCCGGCUCGGCGCCGCCGGGUUCAUGCGCACCGACGACCUCAGGCGGGUGCUGCAGUCCGUCGUCGAGCUCAAGGACUUCCUGGACCACACCGCCAUGCUCGCCAUCCCGAGCCAGAAGAGCAUCACCCUGCAGUCCCGGACAGCGGUGGCUCACUGAGAGGAGAUCGUCGUCAACUCCUUCAUAGCCUCGAGUCUGAUCUGAUUCUGAUGACGCCGCAAGAACCUCGAUCGGUUCAGCAUCGCAGAACAGCCUGAACAGGUACGGUCGUCGGUUUGUAGCUGUAAUCUUCAGAGGGCCUAUCUCAUUUUUUCCCCCAUCCCUCCCUCUCUCUCGGUUGGAUUCGUUUGUUCAGUGUCGGUGGUGCAAGUGUUCGCCUCCUCUGCUGGGAGAGCAGAUGUAUAGAUCUGUUGAGCAAAAAAAAAAAGAAGAAGUGUUCCCGCAAAUCAAGCAUAGUUUUUAUUAUAUAUAUUAAAAAAUCCCAAAGGAAAUUUCCCUUCAUUGGAUCUUAUUUACAUGUCCGUCAAAUUUCAGUGAAGGCAUCUGUUCUUGUGGCACUUUCUGUCCGUACUGGGCAGCACUUUGCUGCCGGCUGCUGUAGGCAGUAGCUAGCUACGGUACAGUACAGUGCUUGGAAUUUCUCGCGCUCCUACCGUGCCGUGCCUUUUUCCUCUCUACUACAUCCACUGUUUCCAC